rfam:Roseomonas sp. M3 M3_S294_L001_R1_001_(paired)_contig_474, whole genome shotgun sequence.
GGACCCGUAGCUCAGCUGGAUAGAGCGUUGCCCUCCGAAGGCAAAGGUCGUACGUUCGAAUCGUAUCGGGUCCG